rnacentral:rRNA from 1 species
GAUGAACGCUGGCGGCGUGCCUAAUACAUGCGAGUCGAGCGAACAGAUGAGGAGCUUGCUCCUCUGACGUUAGCGGCGGACGGGUGAGUAACACGUGGAUAACCUACCUAUAAGACUGGGAUAACUUCGGGAAACCGGAGCUAAUACCGGAUAAUAUAUUGAACCGCAUGGUUCAAUAGUGAAAGACGGUUUUGCUGUCACUUAUAGAUGGAUCCGCGCCGCAUUAGCUAGUUGGUAAGGUAACGGCUUACCAAGGCAACGAUGCGUAGCCGACCUGAGAUGGUGAUCGGCCACACUGGAACUGAGACACGGUCCAGACUCCUACGGGAGGCAGCAGUAGGGAAUCUUCCGCAAUGGGCGAAAGCCUGACGGAGCAACGCCGCGUGAGUGAUGAAGGUCUUCGGAUCGUAAAACUCUGUUAUUAGGGAAGAACAAAUGUGUAAGUAACUAUGCACGUCUUGACGGUACCUAAUCAGAAAGCCACGGCUAACUACGUG